GUUUGCUUCUUCUGAAAUCUCAUGUCUAAACUUAAUCCCUAAUGUGGCAGUAUGGAGAAGUGGGGCUUUUAUGAGGUGAUUGGGUCAUGAGAGCUCUGCUCUCAUAAAUGCAUUAAUCCAUGAAUGGGUUAAUGGAUUAAUAGGUUAUCAUGGGAGUAGGACUGAUGUCUUUAUACAAAGAGGAAGAGAGUCCUGAGCUAGCAUGAUCAGCCCCCU
rnacentral:lncRNA from 1 species